rnacentral:rRNA from 1 species
ACUCCUACGGGAGGCAGCAGUGAGGAAUAUUGGACAAUGGGUGGAAGCCUGAUCCAGCCAUCCCGCGUGCAGGAAGACGGCCCUAUGGGUUGUAAACUGCUUUUAUCUGGGGAUAAACCUACUUACGUGUAAGUAGCUGAAGGUACCAGAAGAAUAAGCACCGGCUAACUCCGUGCCAGCAGCCGCGGUAAUACGGAGGGUGCAAGCGUUAUCCGGAUUUAUUGGGUUUAAAGGGUCCGUAGGCGGACUGAUAAGUCAGUGGUGAAAUCCGACAGCUUAACUGUCGAACUGCCAUUGAUACUGUUAGUCUUGAGUAAGGUUGAAGUGGCUGGAAUAAGUAGUGUAGCGGUGAAAUGCAUAGAUAUUACUUAGAACACCAAUUGCGAAGGCAGGUCACUAAGUCUUAACUGACGCUGAUGGACGAAAGCGUGGGGAGCGAACAGGAUUAGAAACCCGGGUAGUCCC